CGGUGAUGAUAGCAUGCAGAUCUGGCUUGCGGGAUUCAAAGAUGAAUUUGUUUCGGACCUUCCAUAAGCUCCACAAGACGCCAGCUAUUAACUCCACCGUUGCUACGAAGAAGGAAUAGGUGUUCCGUGGUUUUCGGGCAUUGAUGACAGAAGGGACAGAGGGGGUCAGGGUGUUUAGUUUCCAAAUGUUAAUCCAGAGAGAUUUGGGAAUUUGGUAAGAUUGAGGAAGCUUGAUUGGGGUUCUGUUGUUGUGUUGCUGGCUGCAUGCUGUGGUAGGCCUCUUUGACUGUGUAUCGUCCUGUUUUACUCCCCAGCCCAUAUAAGUGAAUCUUCCUUUGGAUUUGUGCUCAGCUGCAUUGCCUUGAUCUCCUUUGCAAUUUGCUCUCCGAACAGAUUAUUCACUUUAUGUUCAUCCCGUCUCAUGUUC